rnacentral:rRNA from 1 species
UGGGGAAUAUUGCACAAUGGGCGCAAGCCUGAUGCAGCCAUGCCGCGUGUGUGAAGAAGGCCUUCGGGUUGUAAAGCACUUUCAGCGAGGAGGAAGGUGGUGAACUUAAUACGUUCAUCAAUUGACGUUACUCGCAGAAGAAGCACCGGCUAACUCCGUGCCAGCAGCCGCGGUAAUACGGAGGGUGUAAGCGUUAAUCGGAAUUACUGGGCGUAAAGCGCACGCAGGCGGUUUGUUAAGUCAGAUGUGAAAUCCCCGGGCUCAACCUGGGAACUGCAUUUGAAACUGGCAAGCUAGAGUCUCGUAGAGGGGGGUAGAAUUCCAGGUGUAGCGGUGAAAUGCGUAGAGAUCUGGAGGAAUACCGGUGGCGAAGGCGGCCCCCGGGACGAAGACUGACGCUCAGGUGCGAAAGCGUGGGGAGCAAACAGGAUUAGAUACCCUGGUAGUCCACGCUGUAAACGAUGUCGAUUUGGAGGUUGUGCCCUUGAGGCGUGGCUUCCGGAGCUAACGCGUUAAAUCGACCGCCUGGGGAGUACGGCCGCAAGGUUAAAACUCAAAGGAAUUGACGGGGUCAUAGCUGUUUCCU